AAUACAUGCAAGUCGAGCGGACCGACGGGAGCUUGCUCCCUUAGGUCAGCGGCGGACGGGUGAGUAACACGUGGGUAACCUGCCUGUAAGACUGGGAUAACUCCGGGAAACCGGGGCUAAUACCGGAUGCUUGAUUGAACCGCAUGGUUCCAAUCAUAAAAGGUGGCUUUCAGCUACCACUUACUGAUGGACCCGCGGCGCAUUAGCUAGUUGGUGAGGUAACGGCUCACCAAGGCGACGAUGCGUAGCCGACCUGAGAGGGUGAUCGGCCACACUGGGACUGAGACACGGCCCAGACUCCUACGGGAGGCAGCAGUAGGGAAUCUUCCGCAAUGGACGAAAGUCUGACGGAGCAACGCCGCGUGAGUGAUGAAGGUUUUCGGAUCGUAAAACUCUGUUGUUAGGGAAGAACAAGUACCGUUCGAAUAGGGCGGCACCUUGACGGUACCUAACCAGAAAGCCACGGCUAACUACGUGCCAGCAGCCGCGGUAAUACGUAGGUGGCAAGCGUUGUCCGGAAUUAUUGGGCGUAAAGCGCGCGCAGGCGGUUUCUUAAGUCUGAUGUGAAAGCCCCCGGCUCAACCCGGGGAGGGUCAUUGGAAACUGGGGAACUUGAGUGCAGAAGAGGAGAGUGGAAUUCCACGUGUAGCGGUGAAAUGCGUAGAGAUGUGGAGGAACACCAGUGGCGAAGGCGACUCUCUG
rnacentral:rRNA from 1 species